rnacentral:rRNA from 1 species
UACGUAGGGUGCAAGCGUUGUCCGGAAUUAUUGGGCGUAAAGAGCUCGUAGGCGGUCUGUCACGUCGGCUGUGAAAACCCGAGGCUCAACCUCGGGCCUGCAGUCGAUACGGGCAAACUAGAGUACUGCAGGGGAGACUGGGAAUUCCUGGGUGAUAGCGGUGAAAUGACGCAGAUAUCAGGAGGAAACACCCGGUGGCGAAGGCGGGUCUCUGGGCAGUAAACUGAC